AUUGAACGCUGGCGGCAUGCCUUACACAUGCAAGUCGAACGGUAACGGGUCCUUCGGGAUGCCGACGAGUGGCGAACGGGUGAGUAAUAUAUCGGAACGUGCCCAGUAGUGGGGGAUAACUGCUCGAAAGAGCAGCUAAUACCGCAUACGACCUGAGGGUGAAAGGGGGGGAUCGCAAGACCUCUCGCUAUUGGAGCGGCCGAUAUCAGAUUAGCUAGUUGGUGGGGUAAAGGCCUACCAAGGCAACGAUCUGUAGUUGGUCUGAGAGGACGACCAGCCACACUGGGACUGAGACACGGCCCAGACUCCUACGGGAGGCAGCAGUGGGGAAUUUUGGACAAUGGGCGCAAGCCUGAUCCAGCAAUGCCGCGUGCAGGAAGAAGGCCUUCGGGUUGUAAACUGCUUUUGUCAGGGAAGAAAUCUUCUGGGCUAAUACCCCGGGAGGAUGACGGUACCUGAAGAAUAAGCACCGGCUAACUACGUGCCAGCAGCCGCGGUAAUACGUAGGGUGCGAGCGUUAAUCGGAAUUACUGGGCGUAAAGCGUGCGCAGGCGGCUUUGCAAGACAGAUGUGAAAUCCCCGGGCUCAACCUGGGAACUGCAUUUGUGACUGCAAGGCUAGAGUACGGCAGAGGGGGAUGGAAUUCCGCGUGUAGCAGUGAAAUGCGUAGAUAUGCGGAGGAACACCAAUGGCGAAGGCAAUCCCCUGGGCCUGUACUGACGCUCAUGCACGAAAGCGUGGGGAGCAAACAGGAUUAGAUACCCUGGUAGUCCACGCCCUAAACGAUGUCAACUGGUUGUUGGACGGCUUGCUGUUCAGUAACGAAGCUAACGCGUGAAGUUGACCGCCUGGGGAGUACGGCCGCAAGGUUGAAACUCAAAGGAGUUGACGGGGACCCGCACAAGCGGUGGAUGAUGUGGUUUAAUUCGAUGCAACGCGAAAAACCUUACCUACCCUUGACAUGUCAAGAAUUCUGCAGAGAUGUGGAAGUGCUCGAAAGAGAACUCGAACACAGGUGCUGCAUGGCCGUCGUCAGCUCGUGUCGUGAGAUGUUGGGUUAAGUCCCGCAACGAGCGCAACCCUUGUCAUUAGUUGCUACGCAAGAGCACUCUAAUGAGACUGCCGGUGACAAACCGGAGGAAGGUGGGGAUGACGUCAGGUCCUCAUGGCCCUUAUGGGUAGGGCUACACACGUCAUACAAUGGCCGGUACAGAGGGCUGCCAACCCGCGAGGGGGAGCCAAUCCCAGAAAACCGGUCGUAGUCCGGAUCGUAGUCUGCAACUCGACUGCGUGAAGUCGGAAUCGCUAGUAAUCGCGGAUCAGCUUGCCGCGGUGAAUACGUUCCCGGGUCU
rnacentral:rRNA from 1 species